CGUGCAGGGAUCAGAAGCUGGUUGGCGGGUGAGAGGUUUUCUCGCUCUAGGGAGAUUCUUCAAGCAAUCACUAUGUCAACAGACACAGGUGUUUCCCUUCCUUCAUAUGAGGAAGAUCAGGGAUCCAAACUUAUUCAAAAAGCUAAAGAGGCACCAUUCGUACCCGUUGGAAUAGCAGGUUUUGCAGCAAUCGUUGCAUAUGGAUUAUACAAACUGAAGGGCAGGGGAAAUACUAAAAUGUCCAUUCAUCUGAUCCACAUGCGUGCGGCAGCCCAAGCCUUUGUUAUAGGAGCAAUGACUGUUGGUAUAGGCUAUUCCAUGUAUCAGGAAUUCUGGGCAAAACCUAAGACUUAG